rnacentral:rRNA from 1 species
AACAAACGCUGGCGGCGUGCCUAAUACAUGCAAGUCGAACGGGGAAAGCCUUCGGGUGAGUACUAGUGGCGCACGGGUGAGGAACACGUGGAUAAUCUGCCUUCGAGUGGGGGAUAACUAGUCGAAAGAUUAGCUAAUACCGCAUAAGACCACGAGACCUGAGGGUCUUGAGGCCAAAGGAGCAAUUCGCUUGAAGAUGAGUCCGCGUAAGAUUAGCUAGUUGGUGAGGUAACGGUUCACCAAGGCGACGAUCUUUAACUGGUCUGAGAGGAUGAUCAGUCACACUGGAACUGAGACACGGUCCAGACUCCUACGGGAGGCAGCAGUAGGGAAUAUUGCACAAUGGAGGAAACUCUGAUGCAGCGACGCCGCGUGAGUGAUGAAGGCCUUCGGGUCGUAAAGCUCUGUCGCAGGGGAAUAACAAAAUGAAGGUACCCUGAAAGAAAGGAUCGGCUAACUUCGUGCCAGCAGCCGCGGUAAAAC